AACGAACGCUGGCGGCAUGCCUAACACAUGCAAGUCGAACGAGACCUUCGGGUCUAGUGGCGCACGGGUGCGUAACGCGUGGGAAUCUGCCCUUUGCUUCGGAAUAACAGUUAGAAAUGACUGCUAAUACCGGAUGAUGUCUUCGGACCAAAGAUUUAUCGGCAAAGGAUGAGCCCGCGUAGGAUUAGGUAGUUGGUGGGGUAAAGGCCUACCAAGCCGACGAUCCUUAGCUGGUCUGAGAGGAUGAUCAGCCACACUGGGACUGAGACACGGCCCAGACUCCUACGGGAGGCAGCAGUGGGGAAUAUUGGACAAUGGGCGAAAGCCUGAUCCAGCAAUGCCGCGUGAGUGAUGAAGGCCUUCGGGUCGUAAAGCUCUUUUACCAGGGAUGAUAAUGACAGUACCUGGAGAAUAAGCUCCGGCUAACUCCGUGCCAGCCGCCGCGGUAACAC
rnacentral:rRNA from 1 species